UGUUCUUGCGUCACCUGAUGAGGCCA
rnacentral:piRNA from 1 species